GGAGUAGAUCCAUAUUCUAUUGAAAUGUAUCAGUAACUUGUAAUCUUUAGUGUUUGGAAAUACACUUUUUUCAUCUCAAGAUCUUUGUAUGCCUUUUAAUCACUCUUCUGGAAAGUCCAGUGCAGUGCUGAUUGUGAACCUCAUAAUGUCCAGCAGCUACCCUCGUUCAAUGGGUGAAAUUCAAGGUUAAAGAACUAUUUGGAAAUCAGAGGAACAUGGAGCAAGGAAAGGAAGAUUUGCUUUAAAGCCAC